GUAAGGUUCAACUGCGGUACGUGC
rnacentral:siRNA from 1 species